AGCCGGGCAGGCCGAUUCCAAAGGAGGCCGAGUCUAUCCUAGUGUCUGCUUUAGGGAACUGGCUUCCCACAGCAGAACCCAGAGGAGAGAUUACUCGGAGGCAGUGGAGAGAUAGCGGAAGGGGCCUGAGGAAUAACAGAGUUGGUUGCAGGCUUUUAAACCUAGCCUUAACUCCCAGAGAGCCAGCCGGCUGCCUGAAGGGAGCUGCCCAAAGCUAGCGGAGUUCUGUGACGGCUUUUGGAAACCCUGGGAAGGGCUCAUCUAGAUCCAAGGAUGCUUUCACUGUCUAAGGACCCAAGACGGGAACCACACCUUACCGGAGCUUGGAUUGCUCUGGAGAAUAUAAUCAACUUGAGAGCAGCAGCUGUCUUAUUCUGUGUCUGGAUCCCCAACACAUAACAUGGAGCCUUGCACAUAGAUUCAUCACUGUAAGCCUUGAUCCUUCGGCCACUGAUACAGACUGAUCCUUUUGUAGACCAAUUCAUGAAUUACUCUAGAAAAAAAAAUGCCAGCUGGUGGUGGAUGAUCUGGUGAGGAGCUUCUUGGUCUGGGGCUCUUAAC